GACGAACGCUGGCGGCGUGCCUAACACAUGCAAGUCGAGCGGGGACAGAGACUUCGGUUAAUGUUCUAGCGGCGGACGGGUGAGUAACGCGUGAGCAGCCUCUCUCUCAGUGGGGAAUAACACAGGGAAACUUGUACUAAUACCGCAUGGGGACCACGGCCCGGCAUCGGGCUGAGGUGAAAGAUUUAUCGCUGAGAGGUGGGCUCGCGUCUGAUUAGAUAGUUGGUGGGGUAACGGCCUACCAAGUCGACGAUCAGUAGCCGACCUGAGAGGGUGAUCGGCCACAUUGGGACUGAGACACGGCCCAAACUCCUACGGGAGGCAGCAGUGGGGAAUAUUGGGCAAUGGGGGAAACCCUGACCCAGCAACGCCGCGUGGAGGAAGAAGGUUUCGGUGUAACUCUUUAGCAGGGACGAAGGACGUGACGGUACCU
rnacentral:rRNA from 1 species